rnacentral:sRNA from 1 species
CACCGCCUGGGGAGUACGACCGCAAGGUUAAAACUCAAAUGAAUUGACGGGGACCCGCACAAGCAGUGGAGCAUGUGGUUUAAUUCGAAGAUACGCGCAGAACCUUACCAACACUUGACAUGUCUGUCGCGAACCUAAGAGAUUAGGUUCUUCAUUUAGUUGGACAGAACACAGGUGCUGCAUGGCUGUCGUCAGCUCGUGUCGUGAGAUGUUGGGUUAAGUCCCGCAACGAGCGCAACCCUUACUUUUAGUUGCCACCAUUUAGUUGAGCACUCUAAAAGAACUGCCAGUGAUAAGCUGGAGGAAGGCGGGGAUGACGUCAAGUCCUCAUGGCCCUUACGUGUUGGGCUACACACGUGCUACAAUGGUACUUACAAUGAGAUGCAAAGAGGUGACUCCUAGCCAAUCUCAAAAAAGUACCUCAGUUCGGAUUGUACUCUGCAACUCGAGUACAUGAAGCUGGAAUUGCUAGUAAUCGCGGAUCAGCGCGCCGCGGUGAAUACGUUCCCGGGUCUUGUACACACCGCCCGUCACACCAUGGAAGUUGGUUACACCUGAAGGCAAAACGUAAAACUUUUGACUACGGUACGAUCAGCGACUGGGGUGAAGUCGUAACAAGGUAGCCGUAGGGGAACCUGCGGCUGGAUCACCUCCUUUCUAAGGAAAUCGAUAACAAUUUUUAUCGAUUUAAAAAAAUAGAUAAUGUGACCGUCCUCAUUUCUCUUCUUUUAAUGUCUCUGAGUAAAUGUAAGUAAGGGGCCGGUAGCUCAGGUGGUUAGAGCGCACCCCUGAUAAGGGUGAGGUCGGAAGUUCGAGUCUUCCUCGGCCCACCAAUAUUACGGGGGAUUAGCUCAGCUGGGAGAGCGCCUGAUUUGCAUUCAGGAGGUCAGCGGUUCGAUCCCGCUAUCCUCCACCAAAAUUUGAGACAUUUAGCUUUUUUAAAUCGUAAAUAAUUUUAUUAUCAAUAUCUAUAUCCGAUUGUUUUCAUAAGAUUUUGAAAACAAUCAAAACAAAAAUUUAAUUUAUUUCAGAAAAAAAGUUUUUUUCUG